rnacentral:rRNA from 1 species
AACGAACGUUAGCGGCGCGCCUAACACAUGCAAGUCGAGCGAGAAAGGGAGCAAUCCCCGGUACAGCGGCGCACGGGUGAGUAACACGUAGGUAAUCUGCCCUUGAGUUGGGGAUAACCUUCCGAAAGGAGGGCUAAUACCGAAUGAGACCACGGAGUCGAGAGGCUCUGAGGUCAAAGCCGGCCACUUCACGAAAGCUGGUGCUCGAGGAUGAGCCUGCGGCCCAUCAGCUAGUUGGUAGGGUAACGGCCUACCAAGGCAAAGACGGGUAGCUGGUCUGAGAGGAUGAUCAGCCACACUGGAACUGAGACACGGUCCAGACUCCUACGGGAGGCAGCAGUGGGGAAUCUUGCGCAAUGGGCGAAAGCCUGACGCAGCGACGCCGCGUGAGUGAUGAA